AAAGGGGAAAAGACUACCAUCGUCACAUCUUUCAACAGGAACCUCACUGCCAGGAACGAUGCUAACCCAGCUACUAAUGCUUUUGUCACUUCUCCCGAGAUAGUCACUGCCCUGGCCCUCGCUGGGACCCUCAGCUUCAACCCUGAAAAUGACUACCUGACUGCUCCAAUGGGGAGAAGUUCAAGCUGGAGCCCCCCACUAGCUCCCCUCCAGAGACUUUGACCCAGACCAGGACACCUACCAGCACCUCCCUGCUGAGAGCAGCUCAGUCAAGGUAGAUGUAAAUCCUUCCACUAACCACCUGCAGCUGCUGGAGCCAUUCGACAAGUGGAAUGGAAAAGACCUAGAGGACAUGACAGUCCUGCUGUAGGUGAAGGGAAACUGCACCACUGACCACAUCAGUGCCGACAGGCCCUAGCUGAAAUUUCGUGGCCACCUGAACAACAUCUCCAACAAUCUGCUGAUCGGUGCGGUCAACAUCGAGAACGCCGCCGUCAACAAGAUCAAGAACCAGCUGACUGGAGAGUAUGGUGGGCUGCCAGAUGUGGCUCGCUACUACAAGGCUAACGGAGCGAGCUGGGUGGUAGUUGGUGACGAGAACUAUGGAGAGGGAUCCAGCAGAGAGCACGCUGCCCAAGAGCCACGACACCUGGGAGGACGCGCCAUCAUCAUUAAGAGCUUUGCCAGAAUAAACGAGACUAACCUGAAGAAGCAAGGCCUGCUGCCUCUGAUGUUUGCUGACCCUCAUGACUAUGAUAGAAUUUGCCCAGAUGAUAAGAUUUCAAUCACUGGCCUGAAAUCAUUUGCCCCUGGCAAGCACACUCAGUCCAAACAGCUGCAUUCCUUCAUCCCCAAACCUUGAAGUCAGAAGAGGUGGAGGUUCAAUCUCACACGGUUGUUGGGCGAUUGUCCCAGUCCCAGUUUUUCUGUUUGCCCUCGCCAUCACCCGGACCUGCCGGUUAGUGUGUGAUUUCCUAGCGUAGCUGUAAUGGGAGAUCACUGAGUGUCUUUGAGCCAAAUGUUUCUCAAGGUUGGCGCGAUAGACCUGCUGUGUUCUUGCACAAUCUGGUGUCCAGAUGCUUGUACAAUAGCAUUUUAGAGAGACAGAAAGAAAGAAGUUUAAGUUUAAGGUUGUUUCACCAUUCAGUGUUUCUCCUCUGCAGACCCUCUUGCAAACAUGAGACUCUCUAAGACUAAUCCGCAACUUGUAAUACCACUUGUUAAUACUCACUUUUAAGAUGCAUAUGAAUAAAAGAAGGAGUAAUAUAAAAGUGA